rnacentral:rRNA from 1 species
CUCUGAAAUGAAGUCUCAGUAAACGGCGGCUGUAACCAUGACGGUCCUAAGGUAGCGAAACUCCUUGUCGGGUAAGUUCCGACGUGCAUGAAUGGCGUAACGAUCUCCCCGCUGUCUCCAGCAUAGACCCAGUGAAGUUGAAUUCGCCGUUAAGAUGCGGUGUACCCAUAGUUAGACGGAAAGACCCUAUGAACCUUUACUAUAGCUUUGCAUUGGUGUUUAUAGUCAGAUGUGCAGUAUAGGUGGGAGACUUUGAUGUUGUGACGUCAGUUACAAUGGAGUCAAUAAUUGAGAUACCACCCUUUUGAUUUUGAAUAUCUAACCAAGAUUCGUAUAGCGGAUCUGAGACAGUGCAUGGUGGGUAGUUUGACUGGGGCGGUCGCCUCCUAAAGAGUAACGGAGGCGCGCGAUGGUAGGCUGAAAUGGAUUGGAAAUCCAUUUUUCUAGCGCAAUGGCAUAAGCCUGCCUGACUGCAAGACUGACAGGUCGAGCAGAGACGAAAGUCGGCCAUAGUGAUCUGGUGGUUCCACGAGGAAGGGCCAUCACUCAACGAAUAAAAGGUACUCUAGGGAUAACAGGCUAAUAGUGCCCAAGCGUUCAUAGCGACGGCACUGUUUGGCACCUCGAUGUCGACUCAUCACAUCCCGGGGCUGGAGAAGGUCCCAAGGGUUCGGCUGUUCGCCGAUUAAAGUGGUACGUGAGUUGGGUUUAAAACGUCGUGAGACAGUUUGGUCCCUAUCUGCUAUGGGCGCAAGGAAGCUUGAGAGGAUCUGUUUUUAGUACGAGAGGACCAAGAUGGACGUGCCAAUGGUGUACCAGUUGUUUCGCCAGAAGCAUCGCUGGGUAGCUACGCACGGAACGGAUAAGCACUGAAAGCAUCUAAGAGCGAAACCGGCCUCAAGAUUAGGCUUCCCAAUUUUUAGAGUCGUGAGAGACUAUCACGUUGAUAGGGCAGAGGUGUAAGUGCAGCAAUGUAUUUAGCUGACUGCUACUAAUAACUCGAUUGGUUUAAUUUU